AUUGAACGCUGGCGGCAGGCCUAACACAUGCAAGUCGAACGGUAACAGGAAGCAGCUUGCUGCUUCGCUGACGAGUGGCGGCCGGGUGAGUAAUGUCUGGGAAACUGCCUGAUGGAGGGGGAUAACUACUGGAAACGGUAGCUAAUACCGCAUAACGUCGCAAGACCAAAGAGGGGGACCUUAGGGCCUCUUGCCAUCGGCUGUGCCCAGAUGGGAUUAGCUAGUAGGUGGGGUAACGGCUCACCUAGGCGACGAUCCCUAGCUGGUCUGAGAGGAUGACCAGCCACACUGGAACUGAGACACGGUCCAGACUCCUACGGGAGGCAGCAGUGGGGAAUAUUGCACAAUGGGCGCAAGCCUGAUGCAGCCAUGCCGCGUGUAUGAAGAAGGCCUUCGGGUUGUAAAGUACUUUCAGCGGGGAGGAAGGGAGUAAAGUUAAUACCUUUGCUCAUUGACGUUACCCGCAGAAGAAGCACCGGCUAACUCCGUG
rnacentral:rRNA from 1 species